ensembl:snRNA U6 U6 spliceosomal RNA
GUGCUGUGAACAUCAUUGCAGCACAUAUACUAAAAUUGGAAUGAUACAGAGAAAAUUAGCAUGGCUUCUGUGCAAGGAUGACACGCAAAUUUGUGAACAUCGUUGCAGUGCG